rnacentral:lncRNA from 1 species
UUUUUAUACGACCGCAAAAUUUGAAAAAUUUUUCGUCGUAUAUUGCUAUCACGUUGGCGUCGUCGUCUGCGUCGUCGUCGUCGUCGUCGUCGUCAUCGUCCGAAUACUUUUAGUUUUCGCACUCUAACUUUAGUAAAAGUGAAUGGAAAUCUAUGAAAUUUUAACACAAGGUUUAUGGCCACAAAAGGAAGGUUGGUAUUGAUUUUGGGAGUUUUGGUCCCAACAUUUUAGGAAUUAGGGGCCAAAAAGGGCCCAAAUAAGCAUUUUCUUGGUUUUUGCACUAUAACUUAAGUUUAAGUUAAUAGAAAUCUAUGAAAUUUUGACACAAGGUUUAUGACCACAAAAGAACGGUUGGGAUUGAUUUUGGGAGUUUUGGUUUCAACAGUUUAGGAAUUAGGGGCCAAAAAAGGGCCCAAAUAAGCAUUAUUCUUGGUUUUCGCAAAAUAACUUUAGUUUAAGUAAAUAGAAAUCAAUGAAAUUUAAACACAAUGUUAAUGACUACAAAAGGAAGGUUGGUAUUGAUUUUGGGAGUUUAGGUCCCAACAGUUUAGGAAUUAGGGGCCAAAAAGGGACCCAAAUAAGCAUUUUUCUUGGUUUUCGCACCAUAACGUCAGUAUAAGUAAAUAGAAAUCUAUGAAAUUUAAACACAAGGUUUAUGACCAUAAAAGGAAGG